rnacentral:lncRNA from 1 species
GGGCGAAGUUCGGCUCCCGUGGGAGUCCGGGUGGAGACUUCCUGUAAUUGAAAUAAAAAAUGAAGUCCGGCUCCCGUAGGAGUCCGGACAAGGCUUACCAGCGGCAGAAGUCGUGGACGGAGUCCGGCUCCGUAGGAGUCUGGGCGAAGUCUUCCUUAUCGCCGAAAUCGCGGAUGGAGCCCGGCUCCCGUAGGAGUCCGGGUGAAGUCUUACCAGCAGUUGAAGUUGAGGACGGAGCCCGGCUCCCGUAGG